rnacentral:rRNA from 1 species
UAAAGGGCUACCAGCACUAAAGCACCGGAUCCCAUCAGAACUCCGCAGUUAAGCGUGCUUGGGCGAGAGUAGUACUAGGAUCGGUGACCCCCUGGGAAGUCCUCGUGUUGCAUCCC